UACGGAGGGUGCAAGCGUUAUCCGGAUUCACUGGGUUUAAAGGGCGCGUAGGCGGGCAGGUAAGUCAGUGGUGAAAUCCCCGAGCUUAACUUGGGAACUGCCGUUGAUACUAUCUGUCUUGAAUGUUGUGGAGGUGAGCGGAAUAUGUCAUGUAGCGGUGAAAUGCUUAGAUAUGACAUAGAACACCAAUUGCGAAGGCAGCUCGCUACACAAUUAUUGACUCUGAGGCACGAAAGCGUGGGGAUCAAACAGG
rnacentral:rRNA from 1 species